CGCCGUGGCGGGUCCCUCUCCCGCUCGGCGGGACUGCAGGGCCUUGCGCCUCUCAGCGGCCCCUCCCGCAACCCCGGUCUCCAUCCCCCGAACCUCCCGGAAUUUCCCGCCCUGGAGCUGGCUACCCCAACGCUGCCGCUGUUGCAGCGGCUCGGGACCGCCCCGGGCAGGAGGCUUUUUGCGCCCCUGCCCGAGAGGGGAAGGCCGGUCCUGGCAAAGCGCUUUGUGCAUCGACUCAGCCCCGUUUGCCUUGGGGUUGGUAUUCCUCACAGUCCGGCUACCGUGGCUGAGGGCUCUGCUUGCCCGCCUAGGAAGCUUUCAGGCAGCAGGACCGGGGGACGUGGACUGAAUGUUCAGGGGUGUGACGCCUGCCCCCCCCCCCCCGGCCAUUGCCUGUGCUGGCUGCCCGAAUCUGCUGGCCAAUGAUUGGUGCAUUUUAUUGGUGCCUUCUUAAAACUGCUUAAGACUUGAAAGGGACUAGUUUGGGACAUUACUGAAAAGCAGGGGUGCCAGCUCCAGGGGAACUAAUGUCUGAGGCCUGAAGAUAAGUUGUAAUUCUGGGAGAUCUCCAGUGACCAACUGGAGAUCUGGCAACUCUACUGAAAAGACAUCUUGCAAUGCAUAAGAUUUAACCAGUCCUAGGAAAAGUACUUGGAAGAGUGGUGAAUUCCCAACUCCAGGUGUUUCCUCAAAACUAGACUAGUGCAGUGCGCUCUGCAUUGAUCUGACUUGGAAGGCGAAUCUGAAACUCCAGCUGGCACAAAACACUGCCGCUCAUUUACUAUCAGGAGCCUGAUUCCCUUUUGGAAAAUGCCCUCCUGAACAAUUCUGUUCUACAUCAUUGCAGAAUGCUGGAAGAAUGGGAGCCUUCCUGGUCUUCUCAGGCAGGCCAUUCCGCAAGGUGGGAGACACUACAGAGUUGCGGAUCUUGCCCGUUGCAGCGUGGCACUUUCAGAAGGUUGUGCUGAUAAAUCCAGUAAGAG